AUUGAACGCUGGCGGCAUGCCUUACACAUGCAAGUCGAACGGAAACAGGUCUUCGGAUGCUGACGGGUGUCGAACGGGUGCGUAAUACAUCGGAACGUGCCUAGUAGUGGUGGAUCACUACUCGCAAGAGUGGCUAAUACCGCAUGAGAUCUACGGAUGAAAGCAGGGGAUCUCAAGACCUUGUGCUACUAGAGCGGCCACUGGCAGAUUAGGUAGUUGGUGAGGUAAAAGCUUACCAAGCCGACGAUCUGUAGCCGGCCUGAGAGGACGAUCAGCCACACUGGGACUGAGACACGGCCCAGACUCCUACGGGAGGCAGCAGUAGGGAAUUUUGGGCAAUGGGCGAAAGCCUGAUCGAGCAAUGCCGCGUGAAGGAUGAAGGCCUUCGGGUUGUAAACCGCUUUUGUAAGGAAAGAACAGCCCUGGGUUAAUACCCGGGGGUCAUGACGGUACCGAAAGAAUAAGCACCGGCUAACUACGUG
rnacentral:rRNA from 1 species